rnacentral:rRNA from 1 species
AACGAACGCUGGCGACAUGCCUAACACAUGCAAGUCGAACGAGACCUUCGGGUCUAGUGGCGCACGGGUGCGUAACGCGUGGGAACCUGCCCUUAGGUUCGGAAUAACUCCCCGAAAGGGGUGCUAAUACCGGAUAAUGUCUUCGGACCAAAGAUUUAUCGCCUUUGGAUGGGCCCGCGUUGGAUUAGCUAGUUGGUAGGGUAAAAGCCUACCAAGGCGACGAUCCAUAGCUGGUCUGAGAGGAUGAUCAGCCACACUGGGACUGAGACACGGCCCAGACUCCUACGGGAGGCAGCAGUGGGGAAUAUUGGACAAUGGGCGAAAGCCUGAUCCAGCAAUGCCGCGGGAGUGAUGAAGGCCUUAGGGUUGUAAAGCUCUUUUACCCGGGAUGAUAAUGACAGUACCGGGAGAAUAAGCUCCGGCUAACUCCGU